GCAAACAAUUGAGCACACGUGACUUCAACAAAUUAUUGAGCACGUGGACUAAUUGAACUCAAACUGAGCUGAAACUCGCGCAUGGACUAAGCUCAGGUCAAAGCUUCACCUGAACCACCAUGGACCACCGUGCCCGAAAUCGCCUCCGGCGGUGGUGGCCAUCAAAAACCUAAAUUGAGGCCAUCAAUGGAAUCAUCUCAUCAAGCCCUAACCGAAUCUCCUAUAAAUUUCAUGGAAUUCAAACCCUAAGCCAAUAACCGAAACAGAUUGUCUAAGAACCCUAAGUGCAAUAACUUAAACUAAAUGCUACUUCUAGAGAAUCAGAGCCCAGGGAUUUGGGGAUCUGAGUCCUUAUGCCCUAAUUCACAUCCUAGUAUCAAGAAUGGACGAAAACAAGAGAUUUAAAAUUUCACCUUGUCGGAGAAGACGAUCUGCAAAAUCUCAGGUGAGGUCAGGGUGCAGGGUUUGCUUGGUCCUGAUGUUGCAGGCUUGGUGAUGUAGUAGGUGAGGUUUUUGUGGCUUGGCCUGGCUUGGAAUUUGUUCUAGGCCUUGUGUAUGGUUCAUGUUGCAGGUGUGCAUUGGCUGGUAGGACUACGACUGUUGUAAGUAGAUUGUAUACAGGGUUAGCAUGGCUUUGGCAAGGUGUUCUUUAUGUUUUCGGUUGGCACUGAUGCAUGUAUGUAAGGUUUGGCAUCUGAUGAUGGUGGCAUGCCUUCAGGUUGAAUGUUUAAUGGUUUGUUGCAAGUUGGAUGCAAGUUCAUGAGUUGCUGCAACUCCAAGACUUGGUUUGCUGCAGGACUUUACUUGGCUCAUGUUUGUGUUCUGCUGUAGGUUAGAUGAUUUGUGGCAAGGUUCUGUAGAAUUGUUGCUUGUAUUGCAGGUUUUUAUGCUUGUGGACAAGGUUCUGCAAAAUUGUGGUUGGAAGGGCAUGGAGAUAUUUUCCGCCUGCUGUUGAUGAUGGCAACUUGACUAGUUUGACUGAACUGAUGUGUGAUGCUUGACAAUGUUGCAGGUCUAUUCUGGAUGUGUUUUAGCAGGGAUUCUUUUGUUGCUUUGGCUUGGCGUGUAGAUGGUUUGCACUGUUGUUGUGUAUUGGUUCAACAGGUCUGCAGUGGUUUAUGGUGAACAUGGUUGAAUUCUAGGCAUGACUUACAAAUGAAGUGAAACAUGGUGGAAACAAAUAAACAUGGACAAUGGAAUAAUGCGUUAGGGUUUAGGAUGGGAAUCUAGGGUUUUGGGGACUUUGGUUGACUUUGGUCAAAGUUGACCAAAAAAGUCAACUAUGACCAAAGUCAACAUUUGGUCAACAUUUCCAAUUUUUGUAAUUUUUCAUAUUUUGGACACUUUGCUUUGUAAUGAAUGAGAUUGACAUAUUAUGAAUGGUAUUUGAAUAGAAUUGAUUGAUUUUGAAAUUAUA